rnacentral:rRNA from 1 species
UACGGAGGGUGCAAACGUUGCUCGGAAUCAUUGGGCGUAAAGCGAACGUAGGCGGCCUUGUAAGUCGGGAGUGAAAGCCCUCGGCUCAACCGAGGAAGUGCUUUCGAAACUACAAGGCUCGAGUAUCGGAGAGGGUAGCGGAAUUCCCGGUGUAGAGGUGAAAUUCGUAGAUAUCGGGAGGAACACCAGUGGCGAAGGCGGCUACCUGGACGAAUACUGACGCUGAAGUUCGAAAGCGUGGGGAGCAAAC